GAUGAACGCUGGCGGCGUGCUUAACACAUGCAAGUCGAACGAAGCAUUUAGGACAGAUUACUUCGGUUUGAAGUUCUUUAUGACUGAGUGGCGGACGGGUGAGUAACGCGUGGGUAACCUGCCUUGUACUGGGGGAUAGCAGCUGGAAACGGCUGGUAAUACCGCAUAAGCGCACAAUGUUGCAUGACAUGGUGUGAAAAACUCCGGUGGUAUAAGAUGGACCCGCGUCUGAUUAGCUAGUUGGUGAGAUAACAGCCCACCAAGGCGACGAUCAGUAGCCGACCUGAGAGGGUGACCGGCCACAUUGGGACUGAGACACGGCCCAGACUCCUACGGGAGUCAGCAGUGGGGAAUAUUGCACAAUGGAGGAAACUCUGAUGCAGCGACGCCGCGUGAGUGAAGAAGUAAUUCGUUAUGUAAAGCUCUAUCAGCAGGGAAGAUAGUGACGGUACCUGACGAAGAAGCUCCGGCUAAAUACGUG
rnacentral:rRNA from 1 species